UGAUAAUUUUGUAUAUAUUUACAUUUCCCGAUAUGAUACACUUCAGUUUAGCACAUAUACGCGCGAAAUAAUAAUGGAUAAUAAGUCGUGAUAUUAUUUAAUUUUGUAUAGUUAUUAGACCGUUAUUUUCGUGGCAGACACAAUAUAUCUUGAGAUUUAGGAAAAUUUCAAAAUACAAAAUGCCAGUGUAUCAUAAACGUAUGGAUGUACCUAAUGUAAAAGAAGUAUACGGUCCAAUAGAUGGUGUAAGACCGCAAGAUCACUUGAUAACUUACAAUAAUUUACAAUAUCUCCGAUGUUGCCACACAAUCGAGGAAGUCUACGAACAAGUAGGAACCCGUGGGAUAAAAUACUGUCAUAGAUGUUAUAUAAAUAUUCGCAUGCUGUACAGGAUAAAUUGUUUACGAGUUGCUCGUCAUACUCUGGUCCAUGAAAGAAUAGCAUAUAACGGACUAAUAUGUAUACGUUGUAAAAAAACCAUAAUAAGAGUCAAAUCAGCGUUUGAAUGCCGCGAUUGUAUUGAAGAAUAUCUAAUCUGUAAGAAUAAACGGAUUUGGGAAACUGGAUACAGGACGACGGUGGCACAAAGAUGGAUUGAAUAUUGAUAGCAUAUUAAUAUAGAAAUAUUGAGAAAACGUGAACUUGUAAAAAGCAUCUAAUAUUUUUUAAUGUUUAUAUUUCGCAAAAGUUUAUCCAUUGCAAUAUUUCGAACAUUAUCAUCUUCAAUAAUGUAAUAUUUAUAAAUAGGUAUUUUAUCGGAGGACGUUAUAUUUUAAUACAUAGACCUUAGAUUUCAGGAAAAGUCAUAAACAUUAUAUAUCAUGCACACGUAAUAAAUUAUUAACUAACAAUAUAAAUCAAAGAGAUUGCACAUUAAAUGAUUGAUUAUAAUAUAAAUAAUAUCUAUGUUACAUCUAGUCGUGAUAAAAUGUUAAGCGACUUUUCGUCGGUUGAGUAAGUAGGUUCACUUUUGUUUAAUUUUUUUUCUGCAAAUAGCACUUGAUAGAUGUACGUUCCAAGUAAAGCUCCCAAGCAGGGACUGAGCCAAUAAAUCUAUGCAAACAAAAAAAUUGAAUAAUUUAAUAAAAGCUUCAGAAAAGCGAAAGAAAAAGCAAAAAUAUUAUUUGUUUAAUUAUUUUAUUGAUUGUUUGUUUUAUUAAUCGAUAAUUAUAAUUAUUUGUGAAAAUAUGUUUUAUUCUCCAUAGAAUAUCUUGCUUGUUCUUUAAUCAUGAUAUGCAAAUGUAAUCGAUUUAAAAAAAUUUAUAUUAUUUAAUAAACUUAUAAUAAUUUUGUAAAUCAAGGUUAUAAUUUAAUUGUUUAUAUGCUCGUUGUUACAUGCAUAUAUUAUAUAUAUAUAUACAAUACAAUACACAGUUUGAUAAAAAUGAUUAUAAUUGAUCGAAACUCGUUAUAAAUGAAAUCAAGUUUUACGCGUUAAAAAUUAAAAGGAGAAAUACAUCAAUGUACGAUAAAAUGAAAAAAACUUGUUAAAAUAAACCUGCUGAAAAAUA